UACGGAGGGUGCAAGCGUUAUCCGGAUUCACUGGGUUUAAAGGGUGCGUAGGUGGGCAGGUAAGUCAGUGGUGAAAUCUCCGGGCUUAACUCGGAAACUGCCAUUGAUACUAUCAGUCUUGAAUAUUGUGGAGGUCAGCGGAAUAUGUCAUGUAGCGGUGAAAUGCUUAGAUAUGACAUAGAACACCAAUUGCGAAGGCAGCUGGCUACACAUAUAUUGACACUGAGGCACGAAAGCGUGGGGAUCAAACAGG
rnacentral:rRNA from 1 species